GCUUCCGAUUAACGGAGAUGCAGCCGCUGCGGGGAAGGCAGAUUGGGCACUGCAAGUUUCUUAGUUGGAAGUUAAUUGGUUGCUUGGAUGCUUGGUUUUUGAAAUGGCUUCUUUUCCUAUUGACUUGAUUAAUUUGUUGAUUGGUUAUUGAGACACGCGGCUCCCUUGUUUGGUGAAUUAUUGAUUAGAUUUUUUUCAAACAGGGAGCUUACCUCUUCCCCCACCACAUACACACACGCACACGCACACGUUGAUUCAGUCUAGGACACCAGUCCUACCUGGGAACAUCCUUACAGACACCCAGAUGUGUCUCCUCUAGGAGAAGGUGACGAUGAAGAUGUAUGUACCCUUACAAGGAGUGGCAUGAUUGGAGGUGUGCCCUUGUUGGAGGAAGUGUGUCACAGGGUAAUGGACUUUGGCGUUUCAGAAGCUCAGGCCAGGCCCAUUGGCUCACUCUUCCUUCCCGCUGCCUGAGGAUCCAGAUGUAGAACUCUCAACCCCUCUCCAGCACCAUGUCUACAUGCCCUCUGUCAUGCUUCCAACCAUGAUAAUGGACUAAACCUCUGAACUGUAAACCAUCCCCCAAUUAAAUGUUUUCCUAUGUAA